rnacentral:rRNA from 1 species
AUGCAAGUCGAGCGGGCGUAGCAAUACGUCAGCGGCAGACGGGUGAGUAACGCGUGGGAACGUACCUUUUGGUUCGGAACAACACAGGGAAACUUGUGCUAAUACCGGAUAAGCCCUUACGGGGAAAGAUUUAUCGCCGAAAGAUCGGCCCGCGUCUGAUUAGCUAGUUGGUAGGGUAACGGCCUACCAAGGCGACGAUCAGUAGCUGGUCUGAGAGGAUGAUCAGCCACAUUGGGACUGAGACACGGCCCAAACUCCUACGGGAGGCAGCAGUGGGGAAUAUUGGACAAUGGGGGCAACCCUGAUCCAGCCAUGCCGCGUGAGUGAUGAAGGCCCUAGGGUUGUAAAGCUCUUUUGUGCGGGAAGAUAAUGACGGUACCGCAAGAAUAAGCCCCGGCUAACUUCGUGCCAGCAGCCGCGGUAAUACGAAGGGGGCUAGCGUUGCUCGGAAUCACUGGGCGUAAAGGGUGCGUAGGCGGGUCUUUAAGUCAGGGGUGAAAUCCUGGAGCUCAACUCCAGAACUGCCUUUGAUACUGAAGAUCUUGAGUUCGGGAGAGGUGAGUGGAACUGCGAGUGUAGAGGUGAAAUUCGUAGAUAUUCGCAAGAACACCAGUGGCGAAGGC